rnacentral:rRNA from 1 species
AGCAGCCGCGGUAAUUCCAGCUCCAAUAGCGUAUAUUAAAGUUGUUGCAGUUAAAAAGCUCGUAGUUGAAUUUCGGGAUCAAUUUGCUGGUCGUGCCUCUGGUACGUACUGGUAUUAUUGGUUUCUCCCUUCUGACGAACCAUGAUGUCAUUAAUUUGAUGUCGUGGAGAAUCAGGACUGUUACUUUGAAAAAAUUAGAGUGUUUAAAGCAGGCAUUAGCUUGAAUACAUUAGCAUGGAAUAAUGAAAUAGGACGUUUGAUCCUAUUUUGUUGGUUUCUAGGAUUGACGUAAUGAUUAAUAGGGAUAGUUGGGGGCAUUAGUAUUCAAUUGUCAGAGGUGAAAUUCUUGGGUUUAUUGAAGACUAACUACUGCGAAAGCAUUUGCCAAGGAUGUUUUCAUUAAUCAAGAACGAAAGUUAGGGGAUCGAAGACGAUCAGAUACCGUCGUAGUCUUAACCAUAAACUAUGCCGACUAGGGAUCGGAUGAUGUUAAUUUUUAAUGACUCAUUCGGCG